rnacentral:rRNA from 1 species
AGCGAACGCUGGCGGCAGGCCUAACACAUGCAAGUCGAACGAAGUCUUCGGACUUAGUGGCGGACGGGUGAGUAACACGUGGGAACGUACCUUUUGGUUCGGAACAACUCAGGGAAACUUGAGCUAAUACCGGAUGAGCCCUUAGGGGGAAAGAUUUAUCGCCGAGAGAGCGGCCCGCGUUAGAUUAGCUAGUUGGUGAGGUAAAGGCUCACCAAGGCUACGAUCUAUAGCUGGUCUGAGAGGAUGAUCAGCCACACUGGGACUGAGACACGGCCCAGACUCCUACGGGAGGCAGCAGUGGGGAAUCUUGCGCAAUGGGCGAAAGCCUGACGCAGCCAUGCCGCGUGAAUGAUAAAGGUCUUAGGAUUGUAAAAUUCUUUUACCAGGGACGAUAAUGACGGUACCUGGAGAAAAAGCCCCGGCUAACUUCGUGCCAGCAGCCGCAGUAACAC